GAUGAACGCUGGCGGCUUGCCUAAUACAUGCAAGUCGAGCGAACGGACGAGAAGCUUGCUUCUCUGAUGUUAGCGGCGGACGGGUGAGUAACACGUGGAUAACCUACCUAUAAGACUGGGAUAACUUCGGGAAACCGGAGCUAAUACCGGAUAAUAUUUUGAACCGCAUGGUUCAAAAGUGAAAGACGGUCUUGCUGUCACUUAUAGAUGGAUCCGCGCUGCAUUAGCUAGUUGGUAAGGUAACGGCUUACCAAGGCAACGAUGCAUAGCCGACCUGAGAGGGUGAUCGGCCACACUGGAACUGAGACACGGUCCAGACUCCUACGGGAGGCAGCAGUAGGGAAUCUUCCGCAAUGGGCGAAAGCCUGACGGAGCAACGCCGCGUGAGUGAUGAAGGUCUUCGGAUCGUAAAACUCUGUUAUUAGGGAAGAACAUAUGUGUAAGUAACUGUGCACAUCUUGACGGUACCUAGUCAGAAAGCCACGGCUAACUACGUGCCAGCAGCCGCGGUAAUACGUAGGUGGCAAGCGUUAUCCGGAAUUAUUGGGCGUAAAGCGCGCGUAGGCGGUUUUUUAAGUCUGAUGUGAAAGCCCACGGCUCAACCGUGGAGGGUCAUUGGAAACUGGAAAACUUGAGUGCAGAAGAGGAAAGUGGAAUUCCAUGUGUAGCGGUGAAAUGCGCAGAGAUAUGGAGGAACACCAGUGGCGAAGGCGACUUUCUGGUCUGUAACUGACGCUGAUGUGCGAAAGCGUGGGGAUCAAACAGGAUUAGAUACCCUGGUAGUCCACGCCGUAAACGAUGAGUGCUAAGUGUUAGGGGGUUUCCGCCCCUUAGUGCUGCAGCUAACGCAUUAAGCACUCCGCCUGGGGAGUACGACCGCAAGGUUGAAACUCAAAGGAAUUGACGGGGACCCGCACAAGCGGUGGAGCAUGUGGUUUAAUUCGAAGCAACGCGAAGAACCUUACCAAAUCUUGACAUCCUUUGACGACUCUAGAGAUAGAGCUUUCCCCUUCGGGGGACAAAGUGACAGGUGGUGCAUGGUUGUCGUCAGCUCGUGUCGUGAGAUGUUGGGUUAAGUCCCGCAACGAGCGCAACCCUUAAGCUUAGUUGCCAUCAUUAAGUUGGGCACUCUAAGUUGACUGCCGGUGACAAACCGGAGGAAGGUGGGGAUGGCGUCAAAUCAUCAUGCCCCUUAUGAUUUGGGCUACACACGUGCUACAAUGGACAAUACAAAGGGCAGCGAAACCGCGAGGUCAAGCAAAUCCCAUAAAGUUGUUCUCAGUUCGGAUUGUAGUCUGCAACUCGACUACAUGAAGCUGGAAUCGCUAGUAAUCGUAGAUCAGCAUGCUACGGUGAAUACGUUCCCGGGUCU
rnacentral:rRNA from 1 species